rnacentral:rRNA from 1 species
UAUUCUAAGGCGCUUGAGAGAACUCAGGAGAAGGAACUCGGCAAAUUGACACCGUAACUUCGGAAGAAGGUGUGCCUUUAGUAGGUGAACCUGUACAAGGGGAGCCCAAUGAGGUUGCAAAAAAUCGGUGGCUGCGACUGUUUAAUAAAAACACAGCACUCUGCAAACACGAAAGUGGACGUAUAGGGUGUGACGCCUGCCCGGUGCUGGAAGAUUAAAUGAUGGGGUGCAAGCUCUUGAUUGAAGUCCCAGUAAACGGCGGCCGUAACUAUAACGGUCCUAAGGUAGCGAAAUUCCUUGUCGGGUAAGUUCCGACCUGCACGAAUGGCGUAACGAUGGCCACACUGUCUCCUCCUGAGACUCAGCGAAGUUGAAAUGUUUGUGAUGAUGCAAUCUCCCCGCGGAAAGACGGAAUACCCCAUGAACCUUUACUGUAGCUUUGUAUUGGACUUUGAACAGAUCUGUGUAGGAUAGGUGGGAGGCUUUGAAGUGUGGUCGCUAGAUCGCAUGGAGCCAACGUUGAAAUACCACCCUGGUGUGUUUGAGGUUCUAACCUAGGCCCGUAAUCCGGGUCGGGGACAGUGCAUGGUAGGCAGUUUGACUGGGGCGGUCUCCUCCCAAAGCGUAACGGAGGAGUUCGAAGGUACGCUAGGUACGGUCGGACAUCGUGCUAAUAGUGCAAUGGCAUAAGCGUGCUUAACUGCGAGACUGACAAGUCGAGCAGAUGCGAAAGCAGGACAUAGUGAUCCGGUGGUUCUGUAUGGAAGGGCCAUCGCUCAACGGAUAAAAGGUACUCUGGGGAUAACAGGCUGAUACCGCCCAAGAGUUCAUAUCGACGGCGGUGUUUGGCACCUCGAUGUCGGCUCAUCUCAUCCUGGGGCUGUAGCCGGUCCCAAGGGUAUGGCUGUUCGCCAUUUAAAGAGGUACGUGAGCUGGGUUUAAAACGUCGUGAGACAGUUUGGUCCCUAUCUUCCGUGGGCGCUGCAGAUUUGAGGAAGCCUGCUCCUAGUACGAGAGGACCGGAGUGGACACACCUCUGGUGUAUCGGUUGUCACGCCAGUGGCAUUGCCGAGUAGCUAUGUGUGGAAGAGAUAACCGCUGAAAGCAUCUAAGCGGGAAACUCGUUUCAAGAUGAGAUCUGCCGGGGCCUUGAGCCCCCUAAAGAGUCGUUCAAGACCAGGACGUUGAUAGGUCGGGUGUGGAAGCGCAGUAAUGCGUUAAGCUAACCGAUACUAAUUGCUCGUGCGGCUUGAUCG